rnacentral:lncRNA from 1 species
CUUAACAUUAAAGAACUUAAGAAUGUGCAAUGAGAGUUAAACUUCGAAUCACACAUGGCAAUCAGUGCCUACUCAUGCCAUUUCACUUCAAAGGGACGGUGUCUAGAAACAUUCUUUUUACAAGGCAUUGAUAUAUGUAAAGAAUGUAUCAAUGAAUAGAUGAUGGUGGUGUUUCAGUUACAAAAGCAGAGAAAGAAAUUUGUUACUGAAGGCAAACUUGUACACCUGGGCAAAGCACUUGCAUUCUUUUAAGUUCUGUCAAAGGAUUUAGUUGAAAGAAACCCUGAAUCAUGGACAUACU